rnacentral:lncRNA from 1 species
UUGUUGAUACUAAUAAUAGUAUAAUUCAGAAUUUAAAAAUAAAAUUAAUUUUCUAUAGGUCCCUACAAAUAUAGUGAAUUAUAAAUAUAUCUCUACAAAAUUCAACUUUCAUAUAUUAUUUCUGCAAAAAUUCUGAUAUUUUCAAAUAUGUUCCUACCGUUCGGAUCCAUUAAAAAAAAAUUAGUUAACCAUACUAAAAUACUUAACCCUAGUUAGUUAAUGAGGUGAAUUAAUCUUUUUACCCGUAUUUAAUUAAUAGUUGAGAUUUUUGGAAGGCAUAUUUGUAAUGGCAAAAAGAUCAUUUCACUUAUAAAAUAAAUAUUAUUUUAACGGUAACAAACUAGAGGGACAUAUUUGAAAAUAUUAGGACUUUUGUAGGAACAACAUAUAAAAAUUAAACUUUAUAGAAAUAUAUUUGUAAUUUAUUAUGUUUGUAGGGACUUGUAUAAAAUUAACUCUUAAAAAUAUUAUAAUAGAAUAAUACGAAAAAACAAAGAUAUCAAUGAGGAAGAUAAAUUAAACUAAUAUUUUAUUUGGACAAUUUCAUAAUUAUUCUUCAAAAUCUUAAAAAUAUUGCAAAUUUCUCUGAAAUAUCAAAAUAUCACGUGUGCCCUUCCUGUAUAAUUAGAUAUAUCAUAAAUAUUCUUCUUUGUUUUUGAGAUAUAGGUACCAUGCUACCCGCUUCGUUUAUUUUAUUUAGAAAUAAAUUUAGUUGAAAAUGUGAAUCAACUAAGGUUCGAAUUUGAGACCUCGGGUACCAAUCACCAAGCCUUUUGCCACUUGCGCUAGGGACGGUCGGUAAAU